AAAGAAUCACCUGAAAAACAUUAAGAACAUGUUGAGGACGAGGAGGACAUCAACUGCCAUCCGAAAUUAUCCACCCCCAGGUUUUGCUGCAUCACUGAGUAACAGCAUUGGCAGUAUAUUAUCAGGAUUAUGGAGAAAAGACGUAUAAAUUCAGUACAUCGCUCGUGGAAUAAAAGAUCAGAGGAGUCAAGAAACAAAACUUUGGGGAUAUAAAUACCUUCAGAUAUGCCAAAGGGAAAUCUGAAAGGAAGCUGGGAGACCGCAAGGCAAACAAAAAGGAAGAGGACACCUAGUUCUAAAGUGUUACAGUGCUUUUUUUCCGACUCAUAAUUUAUAAAUAAAUUAAAAACAGAAAGAAUCUACGAAGUCUAUAGGAAAAAUGAUGAUGUAAAUGAACGUUGCAUAUAUAGGAUCAUUUUUUUGGAUCAUAAAUAAUUCAGUUACAUACAAAUAUACAAAAAGGAGUUUUUUCUCUCAUGACAAUGA